rnacentral:lncRNA from 1 species
AACCAUUCAGCAACCCUCCAGCUAAUAUGGCUCCAUGCUCUACUUCUGGAAAAGCUGAGUUCCUGCAGCCUUGUCCUACAUCACCCAAAAGAGCUGGAAAAGAAUGCAGCAGCUGUGUGGAUAAACCUACUUUGGGGUAGGAGCUGAGCCUCAGGCCUGUGACCGCUAGAAGCCAGACUUGAAGCCAGGAAAGAGGCCGCUCUUCCCAGGAGUUGGGAGAAUUUGACUUUGGUGUAGAAUCCAAAAGGCGGGAGAGAGGGUUCCAGGGAGGAGCUGGGGGUGGAGGCUAAAAAAGGAGCCCUGGUUGCCAAAGCCAGGAGGUGACUUUACAGGAGAGCAGCAGUGACUAAGCCAGGAAGUGACUUUGCGGGAGAGCAGCAGUGACUAAUUCAGGAGGUGACUUUGCGGAAGAGCAGCAGUGACUAAGCCAGGAGGUGACUUUGCGGGAAAGCUGCAGUGAUUGUGAAGUUGUUCACAUACAGGGGGUCAUGGGACACCCUCUACGAUCUCCCGUGGGAAAUCCUCAGUAAGCACUCUCACUCUAGCAAUAAGCACUCUCACUCUAGAAAGCCCUUUUGGUGCUUCCAGUCACAUUGCCUGGCCCACGCUCGGUGAGAGCUCACAUGCGCUUCUGGUCCUGGCCUUCUCAGACGCCACAGUAGCUGCCCACCCUGCAAAAGACCUGGAAGGGGAGGGGAGCCUGUGCCACAGCAGCCAGAGGAUGAAUGUCCUGUCAUGAACAAUUCCUGGGGGCACUAUGUACAUUUUGUAGAAGUCCUGCCAGAAUGGAACCUUGCUGUCUACAGCAGCGACCUUGAUAACACAUCAUUUGAUUUUUCCUCCUUUUGUGACUCAUGCUUCUGCUACCUCACCCUGGCUUCCUGAGAUCACCUCCCAGAUGAACUCCCUGCACUGAAUUCUGGUCUCAGUUUGCUUUGGGGAGAACUCAAAACUAAGACAUUCACCACUGUGUUUGUGUGAGCCAAAUCUUCACAUCAUGAGCAGGCGCUAUGUCUGCGUUCAGCCAGACAAACAGCAAACCAGCAACUGCCCACAUGAAUACAGUCCAUGGACAAGAGGAGAGUGAUAGCUGAGCGACUUUGGGACUUGCUGUCAAAGAUACCUGUCUCCCUCUCUUUCAUUCUCUUUACCUUUCCAUCAGACUAUGUGGCUGCCUCAUUCCCCCGUGUCCUGCAAGCAAGGAUAUUAACUAUACAAACAGUCCAGCUUAAAACAAAAUGGGCAGAAUAUUUGAAUAGACACUUCACAAAGGAAGACAAACAAAUUACCAAUAAGUGUGUUAACAAUUCUUAACAUCGUUAGUCAUCAGGGAAGUGGAAAUUAAUACCACAAGGAGAAAUCACUACACACUAAAGUGGCUAAAAUGAAAAAGAGUAAUGACAUCAAAUUCUAAUCUGAGUAUAGAGCAACUGUUGAUGGAAAUAUAAGAUGGUACAGCCACUUUGGAUAUAAUAAAAUGAUGCAACCACUUUGGAAAAGUUUGGCAGCUUUAUGUAAAACUAAGCAAAUACCUUUGGCCCAGCAAUUCCACUCAAGCAAUCCUUCCCUAAAGAAAUAAAAAUAUAUAUCCGCCAAAAGAUUUGUACAAGAAUGCUUCUAGCAGCUUUAUUUAUAAUAUAGGAUUCAAAUCCAGGUCUUUCUGGCUCCAAAGUUUGUUCUGUUAAGUAUCAUGAUAUAUUGGUUUAAAUAAAUGGGGUCAUAAUCUUUGGAAAACAGUUUAGAAGUUUUACAUAAAAAUCAAUAAAGGCCGGGCACAGUGGCUCAUGCGUGUAAUCCCAACGCUUUGGGAGGCUGAGGCAGGUGGAUUGCUUGAGUCCAGGAGUUCAAGACUAGCCUGGGGUUUAUGUGAGACCCUGUCUCUAUGAAAAAAAACUUAGCCAGGGAUAGUGGUGUGUGCCUGUGGUCCCAGCUACUCAGGAGGCUGAGGCAGGAGGAUUGCUU